rnacentral:rRNA from 1 species
GACGAACGCUGGCGGCGUGCCUAAUACAUGCAAGUCGAGCGGAUCUUCAUUAGCUUGCUUUUGAAGAUCAGCGGCGGACGGGUGAGUAACACGUGGGCAACCUGCCUGUAAGACUGGGAUAACUUCGGGAAGCCGGAGCUAAUACCGGAUAAUCCUUUUCCUCUCAUGAGGAAAAGCUGAAAGACGGUUUCGGCUGUCACUUACAGAUGGGCCCGCGGCGCAUUAGCUAGUUGGUGAGGUAACGGCUCACCAAGGCGACGAUGCGUAGCCGACCUGGGAGGGUGAUGGGCCACCCUGGGACUGGGACACGGCCCAGACUCCUACGGGAGGCAGCAGUAGGGAAUCUUCCGCAAUGGACGAAAGUCUGACGGAGCAACGCCGCGUGAGCGAUGAAGGCCUUCGGGUCGUAAAGCUCUGUUGUCAGGGAAGAACGAGUAUCGGAGUAACUGCCGGUACCUUGACGGUACCUGACCAGAAAGCCACGGCUAACUACGUGCCAGCAGCCGCCGUAACAC